rnacentral:rRNA from 1 species
CAGCCGCCGCGGGAAAACGAAGGGUGCAAGCGUUACUCGGAAUUACUGGGCGUAAAGCGUGCGUAGGUGGUGGUUUAAGUCCGUUGUGAAAGCCCUGGGCUCAACCUGGGAAUUGCAGUGGAUACUGGAUCACUAGAGUGUGGUAGAGGAUAGUGGAAUUUCCGGUGUAGCAGUGAAAUGCGUAGAGAUCGGAAGGAACAUCUGUGGCGAAGGCGACUAUCUGGGCCAACACUGACACUGAGGCACGAAAGCGUGGGGAGCAAACAGGAUUAGAUACCCGUGUAGUCCCUGUCUCUUAUAC